rnacentral:rRNA from 1 species
AGAGUUUGAUCAUGGCUCAGAACGAACGCUAGCGGCGUGCCUAACACAUGCAAGUCGGACGAGAAAUCCCGGGCAACUGGGAGAGUAAAGUGGCGCACGGGUGAGUAACGCGUGGGUAAUCUACCUUGGAGUUCGGAAUAACACCUCGAAAGGGGUGCUAAUACCGGAUAUCGUCCUUGGAGUCUCGGCUCCGGGGAUGAAAGAUGGCUGAGGCUUGCAAGCUAUUGCUCCAAGAUGAGCCCGCGUACCAUUAGCUUGUUGGUGGGGUAACGGCCCACCAAGGCAAUGAUGGUUAGCUGGUCUGAGAGGAUGGCCAGCCACACUGGAACUGAGACACGGUCCAGACUCCUACGGGAGGCAGCAGUGAGGAAUCUUGCGCAAUGGGGGCAACCCUGACGCAGCAACGCCGCGUGAGUGAUGAAGGCCUUCGGGUCGUAAAGCUCUGUCAGGCGGGAAGAAAGUUUUCAGGGUGAACAAUCCUGGAGAUUGACGGUACCGCCAGAGGAAGCACCGGCUAACUCCGUGCCAGCAGCCGCGGUAAUACGGAGGGUGCUAGCGUUGUUCGGAAUUAUUGGGCGUAAAGAGCGUGUAGGCGGCCUUGUAAGUCAGAUGUGAAAUCCCUUGGCUUAACCAAGGAAGGGCAUUUGAAACUGCUUGGCUUGAGUACGGGAGGGGGAAGCGGAAUUCCCGGUGUAGAGGUGAAAUUCGUAGAUAUCGGGAGGAACACCGGUGGCGAAGGCGGCUUCCUGGACCGAUACUGACGCUGAGACGCGAAAGCGUGGGGAGCAAACAGGAUUAGAUACCCUGGUAGUCCACGCCGUAAACUUUGGGCACUAGGUGUUGCGGGUAUUGACCCCUGCAGUGCCGAAGCUAACGCAUUAAGUGCCCCGCCUGGGGAGUACGGUCGCAAGUCUAAAACUCAAAGGAAUUGACGG